GUGAAAUCCCCGGGCUCAACCUGGGAACUGCAUUCGAAACUGGCAGGCUUGAGUCUUGUAGAGGGGGGUAGAAUUCCAGGUGUAGCGGUGAAAUGCGUAGAGAUCUGGAGGAAUACCGGUGGCGAAGGCGGCCCCCUGGACAAAGACUGACGCUCAGGUGCGAAAGCGUGGGGAGCAAACAGGAUUAGAUACCCUGGUAGUCCACGCCGUAAACGAUGUCUACUUGGAGGUUGUGCCCUUGAGGCGUGGCUUCCGGAGCUAACGCGUUAAGUAGACCGCCUGGGGAGUACGGCCGCAAGGUUAAAACUCAAAUGAAUUGACGGGGGCCCGCACAAGCGGUGGAGCAUGUGGUUUAAUUCGAUGCAACGCGAAGAACCUUACCUGGUCUUGACAUCCAC
rnacentral:rRNA from 1 species